rnacentral:rRNA from 1 species
AUGGAGAGGGCCACGUCGACGUGGUUCCAUGCGCAGGCGGCGGCGGCGGCGGCAGCGGAGGACGACCUAUUGCUGGCGUUGACGCCGGCGGGCAGAAGGCUAGACCGGUACGACGAGCGAACCCAGACGGUGUGCGUGGACGGCAAGACGGUGCGGCUGUUCCAGUGCCUCUUCUGCGACAAGACGUUCCUCAAGUCGCAGGCGCUCGGCGGCCACCAGAACGCGCACCGCAAGGACCGCCUCGCCGGAGUCCUCGGCGACCCCUACAACAACGACAGCCUGUUGGGAGGUGCCACCACCGGGCCGUCCUGCGAUUCUGUUGCCGGCUGGUCCAUGUGCACUUACAUCGCCUCGCACGGCGGUGCCGCCGCGGUGGCUCCAGCCACCGAUGACUCCAGGCAAGAGAGGUGGGGAGGCGGCCGCGCUCCACGCUUCGCGGAGCCCGCGCCGCUCCUGGACCCGUCCACUGGCCGCGACGGCGUGAUGGGCCGGUCAAGGGCCUCCGUCCCUAGCGGCGGCGGCAAGGCGGCAAGGCGCCGGACCUCGAGCUGCACCUCUAGCUAUCUAGCGUCGCCGGGCCGGCUGCUGCCAUUCAUAUUGCACAGGUGUCGUCGACGAAAACAUCAAGGGACAAAUAUAAUCGUCUGUGUCGCCGAUCGAACUUGUAUCGACACGUCCGCUGCUCUUGGUAUAUUUGUGUUCUUGCGUGAUAUUGUAGGCAGCUAG